rfam:Ovis aries breed Texel chromosome 10, whole genome shotgun sequence.
UCCCUGGUAGUCAAGUGGUUAAAAUUCCACACUUCCACUGCAGGAGGCACAGGUUCCAUUCCUGGUCAGGGAA